AGCAGUUCUCAGGUGAUGCACCCCAGAAUCGGGCUCCCUCCUCUCUGGUUCUGGUGUGCAUCAACUGAGAACCACU
rfam:Myotis lucifugus cont2.18451, whole genome shotgun sequence.